UACGAGAGCCUCGAGCGUUAUCCGGAAUUAUUGGGCGUAAAGGGUGCGUAGGUUGUUUUGUUAGUCUGAUGUUAAAGACCCGGGCUCAACCUGGGGAGGGCGUCAGAAACGGCAAAACUAGAAAGUGUGAGAGGUGUACGGAACUCAUGGUGUAGGGGUGAAAUCCGUUGAUAUCAUGGGGAACACCAAAAGCGAAGGCAGUACACUGGCGCAUAUUUGACACUGAAGCACGAAAGCGUGGGUAGCGAAUGGG
rnacentral:rRNA from 1 species